rnacentral:ncRNA from 2 species
GGCUAAAUAAAAGCGUCUGGUCCUGCCGGAGACAUCCGGAUGCUAAGAGGGAAUGUGGUGCGACUGCCAUGGCAGCCAAUUCCACAGCCGCCCCCGCGACUGUAAGCGGAGAGCCCCUGUUCAACCAGCCACUCCUGUUCUCAGGGGGAAGGCGAACAGAGGCAUCGACCCGCAAGCCAGGAGACCUGCCAGGCGACAAUUGAAACA